CAGGAUGGCCUUGCUGGAGCAGACCGUGGGGACCACCUGACUUCCAGCUUUCCCUAGCCUUGGUGACCUCGGAUGGCCGGCGCCCAUGUAAUCAGACAAAAGCCUUGCUUGGCUACCAGCUCCACCAACACCGGAAGCUGCUUCUAGAACUGCCACCGCUGUAGCCUCUGGGAACAGAUUGUAACUGCUGCCACCACUGCUGCCAUCACCCCCAUCAGAGUGGCACCUGCACAGUCCCUGCUUCCUGGCAUCAUGGUCUAAGGAUGGAGUGAGGUCACGUGCCUGCGCCAUAGCUUGAGAGGCUGGAAUGCUGAGAGUAAUUUGGGCAAGAGGAAUUUUCUUCCAUCAUAUCCAUGAAGACACUGAGGCCUUUAGGGACUGAGCA